rnacentral:rRNA from 1 species
UACGUAGGUGGCAAGCGUUAUCCGGAAUUAUUGGGCGUAAAGCGCGCGCAGGCGGUUUCUUAAGUCUGAUGUGAAAGCCCACGGCUCAACCGUGGAGGGUCAUUGGAAACUGGGGAACUUGAGUGCAGAAGAGAAAAGCGGAAUUCCACGUGUAGCGGUGAAAUGCGUAGAGAUGUGGAGGAACACCAGUGGCGAAGGCGGCUUUUUGGUCUGUAACUGACGCUGAGGCGCGAAAGCGUGGGAGCAAACA